GACCAAGCGUUCCUGGGAGCCAAUCCUCUGCAGCAGGGUUUACCUUCAAGGCUAUUUGAAAGCCAGAACAAAGAGAAUGAGUUUCACAUUCUCAAGCAACUGCCCUGAGGCCUGAAUUCUAAAAGGUGUUCCAGAAGCAGAGCUCACAGACUCUAAUCCUUGACCAUCAGAGUUCUCCCUGUAGCCCAUUUCAGGGUGACAGAAACGUCAGACUACAGCUGUGGAUCUCUACUCUUCCACUACCCUCCAGAAUGAUGAAUGUUGUCAGAAUGACACAGAAACUUGUUGGUAUGUAUCCAGCAUGGCCUGGUCCCAGAAACAAAGAUGAAAAUGGAAACAAUUCUUUCAGAGAUCCUUGAACACUUUAGACGGGGGAACUGAGGCCUGGAGUGGUCGAAUGACUUCUUUGAUUUUAUACAGUGUAUGAGAGGCAGCAUUAGCAUAUGAGAGGUCCUGAGACUCAAUGAAGUUUCAGUUACAAGAAGAAAAAUUUAGAGAUUCUGUUUGCCAUGUUGAUUGUCAUCUGCCAUCUAUCUAUAGCAUGCCUGCUAUCAAAAAAGAAAGAUAACAAAGUGAAAUAGAUACCAAUUCAGGAAUCAGAAUUUAUUUAUUUAUCCUGUAUUCACUGAGUAUCUUCCACAUUCUAGGCACUGUUCUAUGUUCUGGGGAAAAAGUAGUAAACAAAAUAGACAAAAUUCUUGUUUUCGUACCCUAUAGGCCGUGAGACAAGCAGUGAAUAUGUUUAAGAAAAACCCAAAACCAAAC
rnacentral:lncRNA from 1 species